rfam:Gavia stellata contig102119, whole genome shotgun sequence.
UGGUUUUCUGCAGCAGUGGCUGCAAAAGCUG